AAUACAUGCAAGUCGAGCGGACCGACGGGAGCUUGCUCCCUUAGGUCAGCGGCGGACGGGUGAGUAACACGUGGGUAACCUGCCUGUAAGACUGGGAUAACUCCGGGAAACCGGGGCUAAUACCGGAUGCUUGAUUGAACCGCAUGGUUCAAUCAUAAAAGGUGGCUUUCAGCUACCACUUACAGAUGGACCCGCGGCGCAUUAGCUAGUUGGUGAGGUAACGGCUCACCAAGGCGACGAUGCGUAGCCGACCUGAGAGGGUGAUCGGCCACACUGGGACUGAGACACGGCCAGACUCCUACGGGAGGCAGCAGUAGGGAAUCUUCCGCAAUGGACGAAAGUCUGACGGAGCAACGCCGCGUGAGUGAUGAAGGUUUUCGGAUCGUAAAACUCUGUUGUUAGGGAAGAACAAGUACCGUUCGAAUAGGGCGGCACCUUGACGGUACCUAACCAGAAAGCCACGGCUAACUACGUGCCAGCAGCCGCGGUAAUACGUAGGUGGCAAGCGUUGUCCGGAAUUAUUGGGCGUAAAGCGCGCGCAGGCGGUUCUUAAGUCUGAUGUGAAAGC
rnacentral:rRNA from 1 species